rnacentral:rRNA from 1 species
CUCCCGCCCCUGCUAGACAUGCAGUCGACGAUUAUCAUCGGGUAGCAAUAUUCGGUGGUGAGAGUGGCGCAAGGGUGCUUAACACGUGGGCAAUUUGCCGUGAAGCCUGGAAUAACUCGCUGAAAGGCGAGCUAAUACCGGAUGUGACUGCUGGAGGGCAUCCUCUGGCAUUUAAAGUCGGGGACCGCAAGGCCUGACACUUCUCGAUAAGCCCGCGGCCUAUCAGCUAGUUGGUGAGGUAACGGCUCACCAAGGCUAAGACGGGUAGCUGGUCUGAGAGGACGACCAGCCACACUGGAACUGAGACACGGUCCAGACACCUACGGGUGGCAGCAGUCGAGAAUUUUUCACAAUGGGCGAAAGCCUGAUGGAGCGACGCCGCGUGGGGGAUGAAUGGCUUCGGCCCGUAAACCCCUGUCAUUUGCGAUCAAACGCUGUGACCUAACACGUCACAGCCUGAUAGUAGCGAAAGAGGAAGGGACGGCUAACUCUGUGCCAGCAGCCGCGGUAAUACAGAGGUCCCAAGCGUUGUUCGGAUUCACUGGGCGUAAAGGGUGCGUAGGCGGUCGGGUAAGUCUGACGUGAAAUCUUCAAGCUCAACUUGGAAACUGCGUCGGAUACUAUUCGGCUAGAGGAAUGGAGGGGAGACUGGAAUACUUGGUGUAGCAGUGAAAUGCGUAGAUAUCAAGUGGAACACCAGUGGCGAAGGCGAGUCUCUGGACAUUUCCUGACGCUGAGGCACGAAAGCCAGGGGAGCAAACGGGAUUAGAUACCCCGGUAGUCCUGGCCCUAAACGGUGCGCAUUUGCUGUAAGAGGAAUCGACCCCUUUUGUGGCGAAGCUAACGCGUUAAAUGCGCCGCCUGGGAAGUACGGCCGCAAGGUUAAAACUCAAAGGAAUUGACGG